rnacentral:rRNA from 1 species
GCCUUAGUAACGGCGAGUGAAGCGGCAACAGCUCAAAUUUGAAAUCUGGCGUCUUUGGCGCCCGAGUUGUAAUUUGCAGAGGAUGCUUCGGCGUCGGCGCUGCCCAAAGUUCCUUGGAACGGGACGUCGCAGAGGGUGAGAGCCCCGUGUUCGGGCAGAUGCCGUCGCCAUGUGAAGCUCCUUCGACGAGUCGAGUUGUUUGGGAAUGCAGCUCAAAACGGGAGGUAAAUUUCUUCCAAAGCUAAAUACCGGCCGGAGACCGAUAGUGCACAAGUAGAGUGAUCGAAAGAUGAAAAGCACUUUGGAAAGAGAGUCAAACAGCGCGUGAAAUUGUUAAAAGGGAAGCGCUUGCGGUCAGAACUUGGCCGCCGUUGCUCGGGGGGGCCUCGCGCCCCCCUCGCUCUUCGGCGGCUGGGCCAGCAUCGGUUCGGGCGGCUCGAGAAAGGUCGCGGGAACGUGGCUCCCUCCGGGGAGUGUUAUAGCCCGCGGCGCAAUAGGGCCCGCCUGGAUCGAGGUCUGCGCAUCUGCUCGGAUGCUGGCGUAAUGGCCCCAAGCGGCCCGUCUUGAAACACGGACCAAGGAGUCUAACAUUCGUGCGAGUGUUCGGGUGUCAAACCCGUGCGCGCAAUGAAAGUGAACGUAGGUGGGAGCCCCUCGCGGGUGCACCAUCGACCGAUCCAAAUGUUUUCGGAUGGAUUUGAGUAUGAGCACGUAUGUUGGGACCCGAAAGAUAGUGAACUAUACCUGACAAGGGCGAAGCCAGAGGAAACUCUGGUGGAGGCUCGCAGCGGUUCUGACGUGCAAAUCGAUCGUCGAAUUUGGGUAUGGGGGCGAAAGACUAAUCGAACUAUUAAGCAGCGACUGCGCUCUAGGUAGUUAAGAGGCGGCUAAAAGUGCCCGCCUAGUCCCUCCGUUCGGGGCGACACCGUCAAAUUGCGGGGACCUCCUUAGAGCCCAAGCUACCGCGGCCCGCCG